GCGAGAGUGGCGAAAUUGGAAAACGCACUGGACUUAGGAUCCAGGGGCUUUAUACCUUGCGGGUUCGAGUCCCGCCUCUCGCACCA
rnacentral:tRNA from 1 species